GCAGCUUCCUGGUGGAGUCAUCAGUUCAGCACAGAAAGUCCUCCAGAAGCCAAGCUCAUCUGAACUGUACACACCACACCUGACUUCCUCAUUCCAUGCCCUCAGGCUUUUGCAUAGAUCACUCUUCUCUCUUUGAAAUGCCCUCCUGCCUCCUUUCACACUGGUCUCCUUCCAAAGCCAGCUCAGAGCUUGGAGAAAUUUGGUUAAUUCACCUGACUUAUGCAAGAGAAUCACUCAGAGCUGAGAAAUGGAUCUUGUUGAUUUAGCCCCUCUUGGAAAGACAGGGGACAGAUGUACAUCUGAAGCACUUCCCAGUCAUCAAUAACUCAUCCUGUCAAAAGGCUGACCCUCAUCCCUGGAAUGCACUUUCUCAUCACCUCUGGAUUUUGGACCAUUUGCACCAUUUGCAAGAAAGAAGAGCAACCCCAGAAAUAGUCAUCUUUCUCCACCUUUCUCUUUCUUUCCCCUGUCUGCCCUCUGGUGGAAGUGUGAAUGAGCAAGAAAAUGAUCCAAAGAAGAGCAAAGUAAUGAGUGUGUAACUUGAUCCUUGUUCACUAAGAUAGAAUUCCUUGAUUCAUUCAUAUACCAAGCAUUAAUUAAGCCCCCACUAUGUGCUAAGAAUGGAUGUGCAGUAGAGUAUGACUGAGUGUCCUGGCACACCAUAGGGAUGCUUUCCCCUGAGCUUCUUUAACUGAUACUUGUAUGGUUACUAUCUUGAGGACCCCUCAUCAGCCUAUUCACCCUGAAAUUUCAUUGGAAUUCCACCUGAGGGCAUUUCUUGAGAGAAGAGAAAGUACCCAUAGGAUUGUACCUUCAGGGAGUAUCCCUUUCUGGCCCACUACACACAUCUGUGGUUCAAAGCAUUAUUCUAGAUGCUAGAGGAAUUGCAAAUUUUUAAAAAGUGAUUGUACCUCCCGUGCUUACUAUCUAGCAUUUGUCCUUCUUUAAACAACUCCUGGAUAAUUCCCAUUGCACAUCUCAGGAUUUUUUAAAAGCUUAUCUGGGAUGGAGUCUUGGUUCCCAGCAGGAAGAUAUAUGCAAUGACCUCUUAAGAGUCUUUUCAUAUCUAUUAUGUCAUCAUUUCUGUAGGCACUGGAAAGACAGCUCUAUAAACCUGGAUGGAGAUAGUUCUUCCUUCUCCCCUCAGAACAUACAUUUCUUUCCUAGCAAGGGAGAUAUUCCAAAGUAUAUUUUUUUUCAUCCCAGUCAAAACUCUA